rnacentral:rRNA from 1 species
GUGAACGCUGGCGGUAGGCCUCACCCCUGCAAGUCGAACGGCAGCACAGUAAGAGCUUGCUCUUACGGGUGGCGAGUGGCGGACGGGUGAGGAAUACAUCGGAAUCUACUUUUUCGUGGGGGAUAACGUAGGGAAACUUACGCUAAUACCGCAUACGACCUACGGGUGAAAGCAGGGGAUCUUCGGACCUUGCGCGAUUGAAUGAGCCGAUGUCGGAUUAGCUAGUUGGCGGGGUAAAGGCCCACCAAGGCGACGAUCCGUAGCUGGUCUGAGAGGAUGAUCAGCCACACUGGAACUGAGACACGGUCCAGACUCCUACGGGAGGCAGCAGUGGGGAAUAUUGGACAAUGGGCGCAAGCCUGAUCCAGCCAUACCGCGUGGGUGAAGAAGGCCUUCGGGUUGUAAAACCCUUUUGUUGGGAAAGAAAAGCAGCAGGUUAAUACCCCGCUGUUCUGACGGUACCCAAAGAAUAAGCACCGGCUAACUUCGUG